CAAGCCGUCAAAUAGCUUAGUCAAAUCUAAAGUGUAGCCUACGGUUUAAUUGGGGAAAUGGCGAAGCAAUUUAAAAGUUAAUGCUGAAGGUCGCGUUUAAAGAGAAAUUCACUUUUGUGGAAGUGAAAGGCAAGCCCGUUUGCUUAAUUUGUGUAGAAGCUCUUUCCGUUCUCAAAAAGAAGGAAUGGUGCGAGCGGAGAAAAUCAAGUAAUAAUUUCGCUGCACAACAAGCGUCUUUCCUGCGUCUUAAAAAAGGGCUGAACAGUGUCACUGAAGCAAGUUGCGCGAAUCCAUUUGCCGUGAUGUCCCAGAGUGUGCCGUCAGUCACUGGACGAGCUCAUUGGCGGCGACGGCGUAACUGCUUUUCUUCUCGCUGAAAAGACCCAUCUCCGGGCUGAUGUGUUCAAUUGAAGGCGACGGUGCUGUUUGGGCUCUGGCAUGGAGGCAUGUGACAGGUGCAGUGGAGUGCGCAGAGAGACGGGGGCCCCGCAUGCACUGCGCAGCGUCGUCUCCUAUCGGCAUCACUGUCAAACGGACAGAGUAUGACAGCUGCUGCAUGUCUCAGUUUUUCACAUGUAUUUAUUUUUUCAAUUGCAUAACAAAGUAUUGAGAGUGUUUAGCCAUUUGUUUUGCUGAUUUGGCCACUUCACUUCUGUCAAUAUGGGUUUCAACUAUGAUGUCACCACAUAAUCAGCUGUUUCUUUGUCGGCGCCCCCAUCAACUCUUUUUCAACAGUACAAUAACAGACUUGAUCUAUCCAGGACACUGAACACUACUUAAAACAUUUUUAAAAAUCUAUAUUUUAUUGUCUUAGUGUUUAUGACAUCUAUAGUGUAAUAUACAGCACAAAUGCUUGUAUUUUAACAGUGCUAUUGACAAACAAUUUCUGCUGCAAAAAUAAAUAAAUAAAUAAAUACAAUUAAUGGUGUGAAGAUCCAAAAGUAAACACCAAUUUUGGAGUCAGAAGCACAAUUAAUAUGCAGGUCUGAUAUUCUAAUAGCAUGAUGGUCCUCCUUUCUAUGCCAAUAUUUUAUGCAUACUGUUAUUCCACAUUUCCAUAUACCAAGUGCUGUAAUAUUCAAGGACUUGGAAGUCCUUCAGCAACUCACUUUUUGAUGAUAUUUCAGUAAAAUGCUUUGAGAUUUAUACUGUAGAUGAGGUCACACAUAUGACAUGCACUGCACAGUCACAUGCAUGAAUUCAUGUUGAUUGUCAUUAAUUUGCAUGAUAAUCAGUGAUCACCAGCUUACAGUAAAAUUAGUUUAUAGAAAGUAAACAGCAAGCUACCUGUCAAUGGUUAUUUUUAUGGUUGAGUACACAAACAUAAUGGGCAUAAUACUCCAUCGGGAAGUAGAUAAUGUGGAUCAGCUGCAUUUCUUUUCAAAAUAAAGCAAAAUUGAGCAAAUAAAACAAAAUGCAUAUGUGAUCAAUGUAUGGCUAUCGCCCUGAUUUAUAGAAGAAAAGCCGUGUAUGGCUAGAUUCAAAGCUUAGCUCAGUACCAAUCCCCUUUCAUUAUUAUCAAGGUUGUUAUUCUAAUAACACUGGGACUUUAGGGAUUUACAUGGAAAAUCACUCAUUCUGAUUACAAUGUUUUACUUUUAUUUGGAUGGGUAUACAGUAGCUGGGUAAACCAGUAUGAAGAAGUCAGCUCUUAAAAGGGACAAAAAUAUAAAGAUAAAAGCCCUGCAAGUGGAAAAGAGGAAUUAUAAUGCAUAACUGGAGCUUUUUACUGUUGUUAGAUAAUAAUGGUGAUAUCCAGGUACUUUAAAUGAGCAUUAAAAAAAAAAAUCUGUCAAUCAUGUUCAUUUGUGAAAGAUGUUUUAUUUGUGAAAAAAAUCAUGUCCAUUUGUGAAGGAAAAAUUAUUUCACAUUCAUGGUUCCCUAAAGCUUGUAAUCUGAAUCAAUAACCAGAAAUUAACAGUUACAGUACAUACAGCCAGCAUACAAUUACACCAGCUUCAAGCCAUCUGCAUUUAACUGUAACCUAAAAUCCACC